GACGAACGCUGGCGGCGUGCCUAAUACAUGCAAGUAGAACGCUGAAGAGAGGAGCUUGCUCUUCUUGGAUGAGUUGCGAACGGGUGAGUAACGCGUAGGUAACCUGCCUUGUAGCGGGGGAUAACUAUUGGAAACGAUAGCUAAUACCGCAUAACAAUGGAUGACACAUGUCAUUUAUUUGAAAGGGGCAAUUGCUCCACUACAAGAUGGACCUGCGUUGUAUUAGCUAGUAGGUGAGGUAAUGGCUCACCUAGGCGACGAUACAUAGCCGACCUGAGAGGGGGAACGGCCACACUGGGACUGGGACACGGCCCAGACUCCUACGGGAGGCAGCAGUAGGGAAUCUUCGGCAAUGGGGGCAACCCUGACCGAGCAACGCCGCGUGAGUGAAGAAGGUUUUCGGAUCGUAAAGCUCUGUUGUAAGUCAAGAACGGGUGUGAGAGUGGAAAGUUCACACUGUGACGGUAGCUUACCAGAAAGGGACGGCUAACUACGUG
rnacentral:rRNA from 1 species